UGAGGAAUAUUGGACAAUGGGUGAAAGCCUGAUCCAGCCAUCCCGCGUGUAGGAAGACGGCCCUAUGGGUUGUAAACUACUUUUAUCUGGGGAUAAACCUACUUACGUGUAAGUAGCUGAAGGUACCAGAUGAAUAAGCACCGGCUAACUCCGUGCCAGCAGCCGCGGUAAUACGGAGGGUGCAAGCGUUAUCCGGAUUUAUUGGGUUUAAAGGGUCCGUAGGCGGACUGAUAAGUCAGUGGUGAAAUCCGACAGCUUAACUGUCGAACUGCCAUUGAUACUGUUAGUCUUGAGUAAGGUUGAAGUGGCUGGAAUAAGUAGUGUAGCGGUGAAAUGCAUAGAUAUUACUUAGAACACCAAUUGCGAAGGCAGGUCACUAAGUCUUAACUGACGCUGAUGGACGAAAGCGUGGGGAGCGAACAGG
rnacentral:rRNA from 1 species